CUAACAGUGUGGCAUAGUGGAAUGAGUCUUAGAUUAUGACUCUGAAGACCAGGGUUUGAUUCCCUGCACAUAGA